UCCAGCAUCCAUAUCACCCUGCAGCUCAUAACUAGCAACCCACUGUAGCUCAGCAGGUGUGAGCCUGAUCAGUACCUGAAUAGGAGACCUCCUGGGAAAAAACUAAGGUUGCUGCUGGAA
rnacentral:rRNA from 1 species